UACAGAGGCCCCAAGCGUUGUUCGGAUUCAUUGGGCGUAAAGGGUGCGUAGGCGGCGCGGUAAGUCGGGUGUGAAAUCUCGGAGCUUAACUCCGAAACUGCAUUCGAUACUGCCGUGCUUGAGGACUGGAGAGGAGACUGGAAUUUACGGUGUAGCGGUGAAAUGCGUAGAUAUCGUAAGGAAGACCAGUGGCGAAGGCGGGUCUCUGGACAGUUCCUGACGCUGAGGCACGAAGGUCAGGGGAGCAAACGGG
rnacentral:rRNA from 1 species